ACAUUUAGAGUCCAGAUGAGACAUAGUGAUACAGAGGCUUUGUACACGCGCUGCUCUCCGAUGAUUGAUUGGUUGACCUCUGUCCACGAUGAAGACCUCUGAAGAGCUGUAAUCACAUGUGAAGUAAAUCAAGUCUUCUCGCCUGAGGCUCGUGUGUAUCGGCUCAAUGCAGCAGCAAGACCACAUGCUCCUGUUUGAUGACCCCUUUAUAUCUGACCAUGCUGCGCCUCCCCCCUCCUCUCUGCUCCUCUUCCUCAUCAUCAUCAGUCAUCUACCAUGUCUCUCCGUGUCCCUCCUGUGCAGCUCCAGCAUCCUCUGGUUUAAUUAAAUCGCCAGGCACGCACACACACACACACACACACACACACACUGAUGAUGAUGAUUCCCAGUCUUAAAGGAGAAGUUCACCUAAAAAUUUUGAUUUUUAGGUUUGUGAAUCUCAUAACAAACUCACGUGUUGUUACUUUUCCUUGCAACACAAAAGGUGAAAUUUUUAAGAACGUUUGUGCACUGUAUUCCUAUAGUCAUAUGAUAGCACAUACAGAAUAAAUAGUCUGCCAUAGCUUUCAA